rnacentral:lncRNA from 1 species
CAUAUGAACAAACUUCACUUCACUAUUUUCGAACUCAUCAACAUGUUAGUCACCACAGAGGAUACCUUGAAGAGUUCAAGGGGUAUUGUUCUCAUUGUGGAGUGGAAUUCUUCUUCCAAGAGAAAGUCUACAGGGAAGAAGAAGGUUAAAUCCACAAAGAAGCAGAAGAAAGAGAGCAAGUCAAAGAAAGAUAGUCCAAAGAUGGUUGAAGCAAAAAGAAAGUGUUUCCACUGUCAUGCUAAAGGCCACUGGAGAAGAAACUGUCA